rnacentral:rRNA from 1 species
UGGGGAAUAUUGCGCAAUGGGCGAAAGCCUGACGCAGCGACGCCGCGUGAGGGAUGAAGGUUUUCGGAUCGUAAACCUCUGUCAGAAGGGAAGAAACCGCACUGUGCUAAUCAGCAGUGCCUUGACGGUACCUUCAAAGGAAGCACCGGCUAACUCCGUGCCAGCAGCCGCGGUAAUACGGAGGGUGCAAGCGUUAAUCGGAAUUACUGGGCGUAAAGCGCACGUAGUCUGCUUUGUAAGUCAGGGGUGAAAUCCCACGGCUCAACCGUGGAACUGCCAUUGAAACUGCUUAGCGUGAACCCGGGAGAGGGUGGCGGAAUGCCAGGUGUAGGAGUGAAAUCCGUAGAUAACUGGAGGAACAUCAGUGGCGAAGGCGGACACCUGCACCGGUAUUGACGCUGAGGUGCGAAAGCGUGGGGAGCAAACAGG